rnacentral:rRNA from 1 species
GCCAACCAACGAUCCAACCAUAAUACAACCAUCUUCAAUAUACAAAACAAACCAUUUGACCAACCAAGUAGAUGCGAUCGAACAUUACACCUGGAACAUACGUACCGCAAGGGAAAAAAUUUAAAGCACGGAACAGCAAAGAUAAACCCUUGUACCUUUCGCAUCAUGGUUUAGCAAGAAUCCAAGACAAGAAGAAUCAAAGCCUACAAACCCGAAACCAGAUGAGCUACUUCACAGCAGCCUUUUUGGGCACACCCUCCUCUGUAGCAAAAGAGCGGGAAGACUAUGAAGUAGAAGUGAAACACCCAUCGAAUCUGGAGAUAGCUGGCUACCCUAAAAAGGAUUUAAGUCCUACCUUAGACCCUCUCACACCACCAAGUUAUCUAAGGACACUCAAUAAAGGUACAACUUUAUUGAAACAGGAUACAACCUGAAUUUGAGAGUAACUACCUUACCACUACCAGUAGGCCUUAAAGCCGCCACCUAAAAAAAUAUCGUUUAAGAAUAACUAAAACAAUUCCAAACCGAACUAGUCACUCCAAAAUAACUAAAGGUUAAUUUAUACCCAUAAAUAAGCUUAUGCUAAAACUAUUAAUAAGAAUACCUCUCAUUGCACAACCUUUUAUUAGAAACAGAAAAUCUACUAAUAAUUAACAGACCACAAAAGGAAAUGAACAACCCUCUACACAACCUCUUUCCCUACUGUAACCCCAACACAGGUGUGCCCCAAUGAAAGAGAAAAAGCUGCAAAAGGAACUCGGCAACCUCUAGCUCCAACUGUUUACCAAAAACAUAACCUUUAGCCAACCUAAUAUUAAAGGCAAUGCCUGCCCAGUGAAACUAUUCAACGGCCGCGGUACCCUAACCGUGCAAAGGUAGCGUAAUCAUUUGUCUAUUAAUUGUAGACCAGUAUGAAAGGCAACAUGAGAGCCAAACUGUCUCUUACAGCCACUCAAUUAAACUGAUCUUUUAGUCCAAAAGCUAAAAUAUCUAUAUAAGACCAGAAGACCCUGUGAAGCUUAAACUAACCCGUUAAACCAAAUAACGGCCACUUUCGGUUGGGGCGACCUUGGAACAAAAAAGAACUUCCAAUACAAUGAAUACAUAUAUCAUAUUAAGGCUGACAAGCCACAGUACGACCCAGUCCACUGACUAAUGAACCAAGUUACUCCAGGGAUAACAGCGCCAUCUUCUUCAAGAGCCCAUAUCAAAAAGAAGGUUUACGACCUCGAUGUUGGAUCAGGACACCCUAGUGGCGCAGCCGCUACCAAGGGUUCGUUUGUUCAACG